CAGUUGUGUUCGAUCCUGCUAGUUUUUAUGGACAUUCAGAAUAUGAUCUUGCCAUUGCUCAAAUGUUCGGUGGAUUCAGCGAGCGUUUCUUCCAGUCCUAUUUCAAAAUACUACCGAAACAGCCAGGUUACUCCGACAGACUAGAACUCUACAAAUUGUUCCACUAUCUAAACCACUGGAAUCACUUUGGGUCUGGCUACAGAGGAUCGAGUAUAUCUAUCAUGAAGAAGCUUGUGAAGUGAUAAAACCAUUAAUCAGUAUUUCUCAAAGUAUUGAACUCUGUGUUCAUCUAAUGCCAUGCAUGAAGAAUAUAAUUAUUCUUACCGGUGUACCUAAUGUAAAUGAUAAUCUGAAAAGAAAUGGAAAAUAUUGACUGAUUAAAACAUGUGACAAAAAGAAAUUAAAAUCCAUUGUUUCAAUAAGACCUACUUAAAAGCAACGAAAUCUUACAUUGCAAAAUACAUAUUUUUUUAUAUUUCAAUCUCAGUAAGAUAAACAAAAUGCUGACUCUCUCUGACCUCUGACUAUCCCAGUUGAUAUAAAAAAGUUCUUAUGUAGAGUGGAUUUUGAUGAAUGGUUGGGAAUGUGACGUGCAACUUCAACAGAUUAUGUAGGAUACAUUGUUAUGUGGUGCUGUCAAAAGCUUAGGUUGGUUUUUUCGAAAGACAUUUUUUUUUGUAAAAAACACAUUUUCAUUUCUUUACAUAUCUUCACAUGCCCGAUCAUUGUUAGAACAACGCAGUGAUAAUAACCUUUAGAAGCACAGGUAUUUGGCACGAAUAACCAAAUCAAGGUCCGUAUAUAUGUAUUUAUUAUUUAUAUAUUUGUGACAAGUCCCUGUGUUGGAACUAGCUGUUAUAACCCCACCAUUCUGGUUUUCUUCUUGGUUUUAUAUUUACCUGUUUGUUAAAAGCACUCUAUAUUUAGUUUGCUGUCCUUGGAAUCGUUAUGUCAAUCUACAAUGGUAUAAUGCUGUCACGUUAAGUUUAUAAUAACGGUGAUGUUGUACUAAUGUGUAUGAUAAGUAUGUGCUAUGUAGGAGCUAUGUAACCUAUUAUGUCUAGAUUAUUAUAUUACCGCUAUGUAAAACUAAAAUCAUGUAGGAUUAUGUACAACUAUUAUCAUGUCUAAAGGGCUAUGUUGAAGGUGUGCAUGACUAGUAUACCUAUAGUGCUAUCUGAAGUUAACUAGGAUGUCUUAUGUGCUAUAUAUUGAAGUAAUGUAGGAUUAUAUGUCUAAAGUGUUAUAUUGAAGUAAUGUAGGAUUAUAUGUCUAAAGUGUUAUAUGUUGAACUUAUGUAUGACUAGUAUGCCUUUAGUGCUAUGUGAAGUUAUGAAGGAUUGUAUGUCUAAAGUGAUAUUUUGAAGUAAUGUAGGAUUGUAUAUCCAAAGUGUUAUAUGUUAAAGUUAUCAAAUAAUAAAAGCACAUGAAUAGGAUCUCGCAUCACAGAUAUAUCCCCGCCCCUCGUCAAUAACACAUAUCUUUGGCAGGGGGUUCAUGAGCUACCUUUUGCAAGAGCUUUUUCAUUUUGAAUUUGGCCAAGUGCGCCAUUUAACAUUGAUUCAAGGCCGAAUAGAACUUGAUGUUGUGAUGCAUUUGUGUGAAUAUGAACCAAAUACAAAAUCGCGAAUGAUGCAUAGGCGCGUGAUUGAAAUUACUUAUUAAAUGUGUAGUGCUUUACAUACA